rnacentral:rRNA from 1 species
CGGGUGAGUAACGCGUGAGGAACCUGCCUCAAAGAGGGGGACAACAGUUGGAAACGACUGCUAAUACCGCAUAAGCCCACGGCUCGGCAUCGAGCAGAGGGAAAAGGAGCAAUCCGCUUUGAGAUGGCCUCGCGUCCGAUUAGCUGGUUGGUGAGGUAAUGGCCCACCAAGGCGACGAUCGGUAGCCGGACUGAGAGGUUGAACGGCCACAUUGGGACUGAGACACGGUCCAA